UACAGAGGGUGCAAGCGUUGUUCGGAAUCAUUGGGCGUAAAGGGCGUGUAGGCGGUCUGUUAAGUCAUGUGUGAAAUCCCUCGGCUCAACCGGGGAACGACGCAUGAAACUGACAGCUAGAGUACCAAAGAGGGGGUGGAAUUCCCGGUGUAGCGGUGGAAAUGCGUAGAUAUCGGGAGGAACACCGGUGGCGAAGGCGGCCCCCUGGGUAGAUACUGACGCUGAGGUGCGAAAGCGUGGGGAGCAAACAGG
rnacentral:rRNA from 1 species